rnacentral:lncRNA from 1 species
UCGAAGCCUGGCAGAUGAAGGCAAGCGGCCAAGCUGGGGACAUGAUGAGCCUGCCUCAGGGACUCGCAGACCUGCUGAGUCCUGGGAGUCCCGUAGGCCCCCCCAUAGCUGUCACCACCAUUUCCCAAGGCCCUUCCAGCGUCUGCAAUGAUAUCACAAUGGCAGGUGGAAUCCUGCCCUGGACUCAGCAAAGAUGAGACCCCUGCCCCUCAAGAGCACAAUGUCUGUGGGGGCUGGGGAGGAGUUCUCACCAGCUCCUUCCAGUCACCAGCCAAGGGAGCCCCUGCAUGUUCCCUUCCCCUACCCCAGCCCCCAGCCCAGGGCUGAGCAGGCAAUGCUUACUUUCCUGCAGCCCCAGCAGGCCCUCCCGGGGUGCUGAUGACAUCAGUGUAAAACCCAUCACCAAGUUGAUGGUCCCUGGCCCCAAUUGCUCGAUGCUUCCAGCCAGUGGCCACACAGGCUCCAUACCCGCCGCUACCUCAUCCACCCCGACACUGGGUGGGUGCUGCCCGAGGCUGGACACCUGGGAUGUGAUCUGCUGAGAGCUACCCUGGUGCCCACUGUGGACUCCAUUGCGGGUGGCAUCCGAACAUCAGAAGCUGCCAUUCUGCCCUAUGUGCCCUACCCAACCAGUCCAGCCACAGGUUCCUCUCCAGCCACGCACCUGCCCAUCCUGCAGCCAAGAAGGACGUCCCAGUUGGGGGCUCUCAUGACAGACCCCAUCACAGGCAUCGAGGUGCCAGUGCUGGCUGUGACUCUGCACCCCCAAACAAGAGAGUGGCUCACUCUUGGAGGGACAUACUGCAAUCCUCUCACCAAGACCUUGGCCCCUCUUGAGAUGGGGGACCCCAUGGAGGACCCAGUCACAGGAGGCAUCUCGCCCAUCCUGGGAGUCGGGUUGGAUGAAAACACAGGUCAGCUGGGAAGGCUGCAAGAUGCUUUGGGGAACCUCAUGCUUCCUGGUGACAGCUUUGUGGAGCCAAUGAGUGGGAAGACAGUCUGGCUACAGAGGGCUUCUCAACAGGAGGGCCAGACAUUGCCCCAUAUGGGAGGGUCACAGGCCCUGCUGGACGCCAAUGUGCUGGUGGCCCAGAGGCAAGUGAUUGCAGUGCUCCAGCAGUGCCAGGCGAGUCCAGAGUCGGGGGUGCAGGGGCCUUUGGAGGCUACCAUCAAGGACAUAGACAGGCACUGGCCUUGA